GGAUGGAAUUUAAGUUUGAACAAACUUGGAAUGCCAAGUGGAAAUGGAUACUAAAAAUUCUUCAACAGAGUCCCAACCUUGAACACCUUAUUAUUCACCAAGAAAUAGAAAGUGAAAAUGGAAUCAAUGACAACAAUUGGGAGGAUCCAGGGGAAUGUGUUUUAUCUCAACUUCGAACUUGUCUGUUUAGAUUGUGGAGCGGCACAGAGUGUGAGAUUAAAUUUGCAGCAUACAUUAUGUGGAAUUCAAAAGUAUUAAGUUCCAUGACAAUUCGCUGCUCCUCUUCCAUAAGCACAAAGACAAAGGAUGAAAUAUUACAUAAAUUAUCUAUUUGUCCAAGAGACUGUAAACUUAUAUUUGGUUGAUGAGAUCUUGAUUUGAUUGU